UUGACCCGGAACGGACGACAAGACACCACCGGGGGUUCGCUGCAACCGCACGCGUGGUGGCCGGUGUGGGAAGGAGCCCACUGCUCAAGCAGCGAUGACUUCCGCAACUUCUCAGGCCAAGUUGUAGGGAGGGAGGGCAGCAAAGAAAGCAAGCAAGAAAGAAGCCGAUUCCACUGGUGGUUAAGGUUUUGGAUUAAAGGAGAGAGGUGCAGAGAAAAAAAAGGUUGCAACUCCCUGGGCCAAGUAGUAGCGCAACAAGUUCAGCACCAAUGGCAGCCAUAUGAAAUAUAA
rnacentral:misc_RNA from 1 species